UGUCCCAGAAUUUCACCUGAAUCACAAAGCGUGGCGCCUCGGGGCCUGGCUCCCUUCACGUGGCCUGAUGUCUGCAUAUUCAUCCGCCGUGCAGUGUGUGUCCACGGUUCAUUUUGUGUUGCCACGGAGCAUCUCAUUGUGUGGCCCUAGCCCAGUGUGUUAAUCCGUUCACCUGCUGGUGGGUGUUGCAGUGGUUUCCAGCUCUUGGUUAUCACCGAGAAAGUGACUGUGAACUUCCGCACACACGUUUUGCUGAGGACAACUCCUUCCAUUUCACUUGGUUAUUAGGAGUGGAGUUGCUGGGUCCUAGGGAAGGUGUGUGUUUCUCUCUAAAAGAAUUUGCCAAACCGAUGUCCAAAGCUGUACCAUUUCAGGCUCCUGCCUGAAAUCAUGCUGUGAUUGUCAUUUCAGGGUCCACGUCUGACAAGUCCACCGUGGCUGCCCUUCUGGGCCUGUUGCUGCUGACUCACGUUCCCACGGCCACCUUUCCCUGCGUCUGGACGUAGUAGCAAUUUCUCGUUGGAUGUGGACAUUGUGCUGUGACCGCUUUGAUCACCUGGCAUUUUUGUUGGGUUGUUUUUGGCCUUCCUUUAAAGGACGCUGCGCUGUGUUCUGCGUGGAGUUCAGCUCCUUGCUCUUCACUUUGGUCUUCGUGUGGCUGGUUCUGAAGCCUCUCAGAGCAGGUCCAGCCCAGCCUUUCCUGCAGGAAGAGUCCAGCCCCACUCCCAGGACGGGCCCUGCUGGGUGGCUGCCAACAGCCCAGGAUCCUCCAGGACUCUCCCCCUGGCGGUUGGAACUCCUGUCUCCCACCUCCCGCCAGGACUGCUGGACCUGCCUGGAUGCCCGCCCCUGCUCGGCCAUCCUCAAUGGGCCUCCACCCCAGGGCUGGGGUGACCCGGGCUGAAAACAGUUCAUCCUGAGUUUCAGUCUCGAGCUUUCGUGGCAGGAGGGAAACUGCUGGCUGUGUUACUCCACGGCGGCUGGAACGGACGGGACCAGCUCCCUUCAGAGGGGCACUUCGGUUGGUUCUAGAAUUCUCCUUUGCUAUGAAGGCUGCCGGGCACAUUCCACACCAGCCACCCUCCACCUCGCAUGUGCGUUUAUCGAUGAAACGCCACAGUGGGACCUCCUGGAUCAAAUAGUGCAAUGAUGUAAACGCUUAGUAUUGUCCUGGAACCUGCCUCCGAAAAGGCCGUGCGCUCCCGCCUGGGAUCCUGCUGCUCCUCCGCCGGCCGCCCCGCACACGCUCCGCUGCCUCUCUGGGCUGGCUCAGCCGUUGCAUGUUCCUGCGUGUGCACUGAGACGUCCACCCUGGCACGCUUCUUCCCCUCGGCACGUGGUCCCCACGCUGUGCCUGCCCAGCUCGGAGCCCAGAGGCCCCCGCAGCUCCCCACAACUUCAUGGUGCAGUGACCUGAGGCCUCCCCUGGCUCAGUCCCUUUCCCAGGGUCAGGGGUCCAUGUAUUGAACCAGGACGGGAGGUGCCUUCCCCCUGAGCUCUGUCCCUGCUGAACCUGGAAGGCAGCGCCCGGUGGCGGCUCAGACCCCCAGAGCCUCUUCUGAGGUCCGACACUCCUCUGCUCCCCCCAGGGAGACCCCCUGGCCUGGCCCCCAGCUCUCGGUGCCUCGGUUUCCUCACCUGGAAGGUGGGGAUGUUGAAGGUGCCUGGCCUGUGGCUGUGCACUAAGCUAGGGUGACUGUGAGCUUCCAGAGCUCGAAUGUCUGGAAGGAAGGGCGCGAGCUGGGUGCGUGUGAGUGUCCUGAUCAUGGACACAGAGCGUGGGGCCCCUUGGAGGGCUGGAACCCAGGUGGGGGAUGCCUGGGUGGUGGGACAGAGUGGGGCUGGAGGAGAGGGUCUGAGGAAUGUUCCGGCCACAGACACCCCAAGCCCACGGGAGGUCAGGAGUUGGUCACAAGGAAGGUGAGGUGGGGAACAGAGCUGGGGCCCAGGGUCCUGAUUUGGGGUGAGAGGUGACGCCAUCCCCGAGUCAGAAAGACGGCCAGGGGAGGGGAGGAGGUGGGGAAAGCAGACAGACGGGGAGGCGGGGGGAGCCCAGGGCCAGGAGUGUCAGGGGCAGGCACUUGAGACAGAGGCACCCUGAGGUUUCCCAGCAGGCAAUUGAUACCCUGGCCUGCAGCGUGGAGGAACCGGGGCUGGGCUGGAGGCCUGGGGACGCCUGGGGCUGCCCCAAUUCCCAGCAGACACCUCACCCUCUGGGAAGCCCCAGCUGCCCCAGAUCCCUCCCACAAUGCUCUGACCACCCCCAACCCCCAAGUCCUCUCCCUUCUGUCCCCAAGCCCGAGGCCUUGGAGCUGCCCCCGCCCUGGGCCAUGAGAGCUGGACACAGAGCCCUCCAAGUUCCACGGGCCUCCUGCACCGCCGCCUGCUCCGCCCUCCUGCCCUCCCCCUCGGCCUCCCCUGUGAGGGCUGCCCACCUAGGUGACCCCGGAGCCGCCUCCUCACGCCUCCAUCUGCUCUGCACACCGUCCACUAGCCUGACAGCUGCCCAAAGCCUCCAGAGCACAGAACGGGCCUGGUGUCUGCGCCUCCGUCUCGGGGUGGGCCACGGCCGGUUCUGUGUCCCGUCCCCUCCCCGCUCACCAGCGGUGGACCCCAGCUUCCCUCUGCAGCAGCACUCAACUCACACACUUUCUCAGAGACGCGCAGCCCACCUCGCCCCCGCAGUUUCCUCUUCAUCCCUCAGAGCCCCCCAUGGCCUGGGCAGUCCAUCCUGAGUGUCCGCACCACACGACUGUAGACGUUUGGCUUCUGGACUCAAAUCCUUCACCAGAUCGUGACCAGGAUGGCAAUGACCAGGCCUCGGCCUCAGCCCCCUGCCUGGCCUGCACUGGCACAGCAUUGGGUCUGGGGAGUCCCCGCGACAGGAGGCGUGGGGCUCGGGGUGCUCACCUGCCUCCCUCUCCCUGCUGGUAAUGGUGGGCCCCGGGAUGGGGGCAGUGAUAUCCUGCGGGCAGCCGUGUCAAUGCAGAUGGCUGGGUGCUGGGUAGGGCCCCGUCUCCCGCCUCCUUGGGCUGCCUCAUUUCCUUCCUGAUGACCCUGGGGUCCUGCACAGGGCCUGGCGGUGCUGGUGCCGGGAGAGCCCACGCUGAAUGGAUGAAGGAGUGAGUGCUGUACUUAGCGGGGGGCGCUGAGCGCUGGGUGGGGAGCCCAGGACAUUUCCUCCUGCUGCCCGGGAGGUAACACCCUGGACCCCUGGAGUCUGCAUUCUGUGAGAGCGGGCAGGCCACAGAGAAGGGAGAAAAGGGACGGAGGGCCGAGGCGGGCGGAUACGGGGAGCAGGGAGCGGGGACAGGGCUUACUCAGCAAUCAGAGAAGGCCUCAAGGAAGAGGUGACAUUUCAGCAAAGACCUGGCACUGUCUGUGCCCUCGGUGGGGCAGAUGGGCUCCCUUCAGCCCCCUUGAGGCCUGGCACCUGGGGCCCUAUGUCAGGCUUGGGGCCUUGGUGUGGGAGCUGAAGUCGGGGUAGGAGGGGCAUGGAGGAAGGGGCAGGAGGGGCUGAGUCUCACUGAUGCCUGUGUUAGUCUUGUCUCUUGCCAUGCCUCAGUUUCCCUCCUCCCCAGGGUGGGGUGGAUGAGACGACUCUGGAGGACGUAUCUGAGAGAGUGGGGUUGGAGCCCCGUACCGGCAGGUGUAGGCGCUGUGUCUGCUCUUGGAGGUUGGGCGUUCUUGGGGAGUUGGUGAGGGAACGUGCUGUCCCUGCACCCUGGAGCCCCCAUGCCCUCCUGGGGCCCCCGGGAGUGGAGGAUGCAAGGGGCCCCCUUCUUCUUCCUUGCAAGACCCACAUGGCUCUGCAUGUGGGGGACAUUCCUGGCAGGGGGCGCUGAGGGCCAGGAUGUGAGUGCACCAGGGAAACAGCAGAUGGGGCUCCUCUCCCAGGCUCCAGCUGUGGGGUGGGAGUCCAUGCUCCUGCGUGUCUCUUGGGGGCUUUUCCUCCACUGGGUGCCACCUGGUCCCCCACCCUGCCUCAGAGUAUUGGGGUCUGGGCUCGUCCACCCUGGAUGCUGGCCAGGAGUGCACCUGCCUCUGGAGCUCGGGACGCUUGGCCCCACAGGACGGUGUCGCACACCACAGCCGGCCUAACUUCACCCCUGCCUGCUCCCUCUCCAGGGCCGGCCUGCAGGGCUGCACACUUUCUAGUUGGGGUGCAGGUCCCCGGGCUCCUGCCACAGAUUCCUGUGGCUGGCCACCCUG
rnacentral:lncRNA from 1 species